AUUGAACGCUGGCGGCAGGCUUAACACAUGCAAGUCGAGCGGGGAAAGGUAGCUUGCUACCUGACCUAGCGGCGGGCGGGUGAGUAAUGCUUAGGAAUCUGCCUAUUAGUGGGGGACAACAUUCCGAAAGGAAUGCUAAUACCGCAUACGCCCUACGGGGGAAAGCAGGGGAUCUUCGGACCUUGCGCUAAUAGAUGAGCCUAAGUCAGAUUAGCUAGUUGGUGGGGUAAAGGCCUACCAAGGCGACGAUCUGUAGCGGGUCUGAGAGGAUGAUCCGCCACACUGGGACUGAGACACGGCCCAGACUCCUACGGGAGGCAGCAGUGGGGAAUAUUGGACAAUGGGCGCAAGCCUGAUCCAGCCAUGCCGCGUGUGUGAAGAAGGCCUUCGGGUUGUAAAGCACUUUCAGUAGGGAGGAAGGGUGUUGUGUUAAUAGCACAGCAUUUUGACGUUACCUACAGAAGAAGCACCGGCUAACUCUGUGCCAGCCGCCGCGGUAA
rnacentral:rRNA from 1 species